UCAUGGUGACAAGUCAGAGAAAGCCACGCCGCGGAGAAGGCCAGGCCGGCAGGACUCUCUCCUCCCUCCGCCCCCGCUUCGCACCCUGCUGACUCCACCCAUGCUUGAGAAGCCAAGCACCCUGACCAUGAAGAGCCUCAUCUCCAAGCUGAACCCCCUGGUUGGUCUGGAGUUGGGGACCCCAUGGCUAUCAGGAGAGGCUGGCAGCCCAGCCCUGAGUGCCCAGGCCCUCAAGGAGAUGGCCCUGGGCACCAAGAGCAUUGCCCGAAUCGCAGCCAGCCGGCGCUCUAAGGCACAGGACCGGGAGGGCAGCAGCAGUGGCUCCUCCCGACAUCUCUUGGAGGAGGCAGGCCUGGACUCCAGGGACCCAAAGCCCAGCGCCACCCCAGCCCCCAGCCCUGCAGACAGGAGGUGGCUCCCUGCCAGGAAGGUCAGGAGGAAGCGAUCGCCCUCCGUCACCUGCAGCAUGCGACCGGUGACUGAGAAACCUCCCCUCUCUGUGGAGCAUUUGUCUGAGAGCCAGUUGCCCCCUGGACACUUCCAGCCAUCAAAGUCAUCAGGAAAGAGCUUUUUCCCAGCUGUCCCUGCGGCCUCCAAGAUAAAACCCACCCUCAGUUUCCACACAGAUGAAGCCACACUGCAUGUUCCAGAAGUCAGCUUCACCUUUCCCAGCCCCACAUGGCAGAAUGGUGCAGGCCCCAUCCGGGCAGCUCUCCUGCCCCGGGACCUCCGAGGGUCUGCAGACAGCGGAGGCCAACACCGCAGCCCACUGCGCCCCAGCAACCCCGUGGGUGCCCGGGUGGCAAUGCCAAGAGGCCACGGAGACCGAGAUGGUUGGUGGCUGGUGGAGCAGGCAUCCCGGGGGCCAGGAGCCGACCCUGUCCCAAGGCUGGAUGGGCGAGGGGCUAUGGCCAGGGCACACGGGGCAGCCCUCACACCACCCCAGGGC
ensembl:lncRNA